rnacentral:rRNA from 1 species
GACGAACCGUGCGAACGUUGUUCGGAAUCACUGGGCUUAAAGGGCGCGUAGGCGGCAGAUCAAGUCCGGGGUGAAAGCCUCCAGCUCAACUGGAGAAGUGCCUUGGAUACUGAUGUGCUCGAGGGAGGUAGGGGUCCGCGGAACUUCUGGUGGAGCGGUGAAAUGCGUUGAUAUCAGAAGGAACGCCGGUGGCGAAAGCGGCGGACUGGAUCUCUUCUGACGCUGAGGCGCGAAAGCUAGGGGAGCAAACGGG